rnacentral:rRNA from 1 species
AUGGGCUUCCUGGAGGCCCUGUCGGGGCUGUGCCGCUCGUGCCCGGCCCCCCUCACGCGCGGCCACCUGCAGAAGGGGCGGCAGCUGGAGACGGUGGAGAUGAAGGUCCGGAUCGACUGCGAGGGCUGCGUGAGCAAGAUCCGCAAGACGCUGGAGGGGAUGGACGGCGUCACCGGCGUCGACGUUGUCCCCAGGGAGAACAGGGUGACCGUCACCGGCUACGUCGACGCCGCCAAGGUGAUGCGCCGCGUCGCGCGCAAGACCGGCAAGCGCGUCGAGCCGUGGCCCUACGUGCCCUACGACGUCGUCGCGCACCCCUACGCGCCCGGCGCCUACGACAGGAGGGCGCCCGCCGGGUACGUGCGCGACGUCAUGGCCAACCCCGGCGGCGCGAAUGCGUCCUUCGUGCGCGCCACGUCCACGGAGACUAGGUACACCGGGGCUUUCUCCGACGAGAACCCCAACGCGGCGUGCGCGAUCAUGUAG